CGGCUCCUACUGUGUGUUGUGAAAUUUGUAGUGGUCAGCACCAAAUUGUUUAUUGUUUUGCAACUCCUCAACAAGUGGAGGAAAUCAAAUUUUUGAAGCAGAAUAAUCCUUAUUCAAACACGUAUAAUCAGGGUUGGAAGAAUCAUCCCAACUUCUCAUGGAAAGAUAAAAAAAGGAACCGCUCCUUAACAUGGUUAGUACCAAACAC
rnacentral:lncRNA from 1 species